rnacentral:rRNA from 1 species
AAUUCGAUGAUACGCGAAGAACCUUACCGGGGUUUGACAUGCAGGUGAUCGCCGUUGAAAGACGGUUUCCUCUUCGGAGGCACCUGCACAGGUGCUGCAUGGCUGUCGUCAGCUCGUGUCGUGAGAUGUUGGGUUAAGUCCCGCAACGAGCGCAACCCUUAUUGAUAGUUACUAACGCGUAGAGGCGAGGACUCUAUUGAGACUGCCGGGGACAAACUCGGAGGAAGGUGGGGACGACGUCAAAUCAUCAUGCCCCUUAUGGCCUGGGCUACACACGUGCUACAAUGGCCGACACAGAGAGAAGCGAGAGCGCAAGCUGGAGCGGAUCUCACAAAAGCGGUCGAAGUUCGGAUUGUGGGCUGCAACCCGCCCACAUGAAGUCGGAGUUGCUAGUAAUCGCGGAUCAGCAUGCCGCGGUCGAAUACGUUCCGGGCCUU